rnacentral:rRNA from 1 species
GAUUUCUGGCUCGUUGCCCUAGCCCGCUUACUUCGGUGAGUGAGUGCUGGUGCAAUCUGCCAUCCUUCCAGACAGCCGUGAGUACCAUUUACUUGGCCGCUCGCGUGCGAUCUGGAUCAUUUACUUUGAAAAAAUUAGAGUGUUUAAAGCAGGCUUACGCCUUGAAUACAUUAGCAUGGAAUAAUAACAUAGGACUUCGGUUCUAUUUUGUUGGUUUCUAGAACCUUAGUAAUGAUUGAUAGGGAUAGUUGGGGGUGCUAGUAUUCAGCGGCCAGAGGCGAAAUUCUUGGAUUCGCUGAAGACUAACUACUGCGAAAGCAUU